rnacentral:rRNA from 1 species
UACGAAGGGGCGAGCGUUGUUCGGAUUUACUGGGCGUAAAGGGCGCGUAGGCGGCCCUCCUAGUCGCGUGUGAAAGCCCCGGGCUCAACCUGGGAAUUGCGCGCGAAACGGGGGGCUUGAGUUCGGGAGAGGAGCGUGGAAUUCCCGAGUGUAGAGGUGAAAGUUCGUAGAUAUUGGGAAGAACACCGGUGGCGAAGGCGGCGCUCGUG